GCUCAAGAAAGCCGUGGGAAA
rnacentral:miRNA from 2 species